UACCCCCUCCAAAUUCCUAUUAAGGUUAAUUAUGAAGUAAUUAUGUUUGUAAUUCUUUGUCUACAGGUCCAAAUCAUAUGAUGUUAGAGAUGUGGAAUCCCCUGGGGAUAGUUGGUGUAAUUACAGCCUUUAACUUCCCAUGUGCUGUCCUUGGAUGGAAUGCUUGUAUUGCACUGGUUUGUGGCAACUGUGUUGUUUGGUAAGUCACAGUACUACACUGGGAAAAAAGCAUUUUGAUAUAUUUUUUUUUAAAUAAAAGUGAAUUAUUAUUAUGCACAAGGUACGAAGAAGGUACGACCCAUAUGCAAAAUAGUUACAAAUCUAUCAAUUGGUCAAUGAUCACACCUAUAUCAUCUAGGUUUUUAAUAUCAUGACCCAGUAAAAUAAAUCCAAAAGUGUGAAUCCAUUUAUCUCUAAUGUUACCAAGAUUAAUCUCUACCCCCUCAAAAGGUCUACCAUUUAUUUCUUUCGAAAUCAUCUAAAAAAUAGUAAGUGGUGCAAGAAAUAAAUGUCUCCCCCUUUUUUAUACACAAACCCUCCCAAGCCAAAAGUUCAUUACUUACACUACCUGCCGUAACUCAAUCCACCCCAAUAAGCCUCAAAACAGAAGACCAUAUGCCGUGUGUAACAGCACAACC